rnacentral:rRNA from 1 species
AUUGAACGCUGGCGGCAUGCCUUACACAUGCAAGUCGAACGGUAACAGGUCUUCGGAUGCUGACGAGUGGCGAACGGGUGAGUAAUACAUCGGAACGUGCCUAGUAGUGGGGGAUAACUACUCGAAAGAGUGGCUAAUACCGCAUGAGAUCUACGGAUGAAAGCAGGGGAUCGCAAGACCCUGUGCUACUAGAGCGGCCGAUGGCAGAUUAGGUAGUUGGUGGGAUAAAAGCUUACCAAGCCGACGAUAUAUAGCUGGUCUGAGAGGACGAUCAGCCACACUGGGACUGAGACACGGCCCAGACUCCUACGGGAGGCAGCAGUGGGGAAUUUUGGACAAUGGGCGAAAGCCUGAUCCAGCAAUGCCGCGUGCAGGAUGAAGGCCUUCGGGUUGUAAACUGCUUUUGUACGGAACGAAAAGCCCCGGGUUAAUACCCUGGGGUCAUGACGGUACCGUAAGAAUAAGCACCGGCUAACUACGUGCCAGCCGCCGCGGUAA